rnacentral:lncRNA from 1 species
AGUAGUGGUUCGACCAAUGCAUAAGGAGAUUGGAAUGUGGAUGCUGGUGCUGAGUCACACCCUCAAUGAGUUUUUCUCUUUCAUUUUGUAACUUAACUGAUAGAACUUUGUAAUUUAAGAGAAGCCAUUGGAAAUGAAUGGAUCCUUUUAAAGUAUUAGCUUUUGCUCUCUUCUUCCUUGUGUGUGUCCUUAUCUUGUGAUUUCUUAGCUUGGA